AAGAAAUUAGCUCAACGGUAGAGCAACCGUUUUACACACGGAAGGCUAUGAGUUCGAAUCUCCUAUUUCUUA
rnacentral:ncRNA from 11 species